UACGGAGGGUGCAAGCGUUAAUCGGAAUUACUGGGCGUAAAGCGCACGUAGGCGGACUCUUAAGUCAGGGGUGAAAUCCUGGAGCUCAACUCCAGAACUGCCUUUGAUACUGGGAGUCUUGAGUUCGGGAGAGGUGAGUGGAACUGCGAGUGUAGAGGUGAAAUUCGUAGAUAUUCGCAAGAACACCAGUGGCGAAGGCGGCUCACUGGCCCGAUACUGACGCUGAGGUGCGAAAGCGUGGGGAGCAAACAGG
rnacentral:rRNA from 1 species